UACGAAGGGGGCUAGCGUUGUUCGGAUUUACUGGGCGUAAAGCGCACGUAGGCGGAUUGUUAAGUCAGGGGUGAAAUCCCGGAGCUCAACUCCGGAACUGCCUUUGAUACUGGCAAUCUUGAGGCUGGAAGAGGUUAGUGGAAUUCCCAGUGUAGAGGUGAAAUUCGUAGAUAUUGGGAAGAACACCAGUGGCGAAGGCGGGCUAACUGGUCCAGAUCUGACGCUGAGGCACGAAGGCCAGGGGAGCGAACGGG
rnacentral:rRNA from 1 species